rnacentral:rRNA from 1 species
GAUGAACGCUGGCGGCGUGCUUAACACAUGCAAGUCGAACGGAAAGGCCCAAGCUUGCUUGCGUACUCGAGUGGCGAACGCGUGAGUAUCACGUGGGUGAUAUGCCCUUCACUUCGGGAUAAGCCUGGGAAACUGGGUCUAAUACCGGAUAGGACCACUUCGUAGGUGUUGUUGUGGAAAGGUGUUGCGGUGUGUGAUGAGCUCGGGGACUAUCCGCUUGUUGGUGGGGUAGUGGCCUACCAAGGCGUGGGCGGGUAGCCGGUCGGAGAGAGUCAAGGGCCAGACUGGGACGGGGGGACGGAGCAGGGUACUUCGCGCAGCAGGCGAGAGGAAGAUGGCACAAUGCGGGGAAGGCUGAUGCAGCGUCGGCGCGGGGGGGAUGUCGGCCUUGGGGUUGUAAACUGCGUACGCCAAAGACGAAUUUAGGACGGUAUUUGGAGAAGAAGCACCGGCUAACUACGUG